UACAGAGGUCUCAAGCGUGGUUCGGAUUCAUUGGGCGUAAAGGGUGCGUAGGCGGCGCGGUAAGUCGGGUGUGAAAUCUUGGAGCUUAACUCCGAAACUGCAUUCGAUACUGCCGUGCUUGAGGACUGGAGAGGAGACUGGAAUUUACGGUGUAGCGGUGAAAUGCGUAGAUAUCGUAAGGAAGGCCAGAGGCGAAGGCGGCUCUCUGGACAGUUGCUGACGCUGAGGCACGAAGGUCAGGGGAGCAAACGGG
rnacentral:rRNA from 1 species